rnacentral:rRNA from 1 species
GACGAACGCUGGCGGCGUGCUUAACACAUGCAAGUCGAACGGAAAGGCCCUGCUUUUGUGGGUGCCCGGGUGGCGAACGGGUGAGGAACAAGUUGGUAACCCGCCCCUUACUUUGGGAUAACCUCAGGGAACUGGGGCCAAUAACCGAUUGGAAGCUCUUCCUCCUGGUGGGGGUUGGAAAGUUUCCGGCGGUGGGGGAUGGACUCGCGGCUUAUCAGCUUGUUGGUGGGGUAGUGGCUUACCAAGGCUUUGACGGGUAGCCGGCCUGAGAGGGUGACCGGCCACAUUGGGACUGAGAUACGGCCCAGACUCCUACGGGAGGCAGCAGUGGGGAAUAUUGCACAAUGGGCGGAAGCCUGAUGCAGCAACGCCGCGUGCGGGAUGACGGCCUUCGGGUUGUAAACCGCUUUCGCCUGUGACGAAGCGUGAGUGACGGUAAUGGGUAAAGAAGCACCGGCUAACUACGUG